CACAGACACAGCACCCACAGACAUACACAGCACCCACACACAUACAGCACCCACAGACAUACAGCACCCACAGACAUACACAGCACCAACACACAUACAGCACCCACACACACAUAGAGCACCCUCACAAACACACAAACAGCACCCUCACACACAAACAGCACACUAACAGUACCCUCACAAACACAAACAGGACCCUAACACACACACAGCACACUACCAGUACCCUCACACACAAACAGCACCCUCACACACAGUACAUUAACAGCACCCUCACAAGCGCACACAAACACACACAAACCGCACCCUCACACACAGUACAUUAACAGC